CUUGCUCAAGCUGUUUUCGCUCCGGGACGAUCACACUUUUUCACAGCUCAGAUUGGCAUGUUGGUGAACUUAUUAGCUUAGAUUUCACGUUAUUCAUGCCUACAUGAGCUGCAUACAACUGCUCUAAUCGGUAGGAUGUGGACGGACAUUGCAUUCAUUCCCAUUCAGCCGUUGGACUGAACCUGUACUGUCUGUAACACAGUAUGGAUGGUCAAUAUGAAGCGAGCUUCAUUGAAUUCCUCCAAGAGCUCUGUACUCCGUUCUGAUCAUUUUGAAGAUGGUUGCUUUGACAGGACUGGGCAAGUGACUCGUCUUAGACAGGAUGCUGUCCCAACCAUGUUUGAUUUCCUGCCUCGUCUUCAGAAGAAUUCACCCAAGCCAAGGAAUUCCCCGAAAGAAAGACGUUUUGAUUCAGCAAACAACCUCCCAGAUACUGCAAAGUCUUCAGCACCUUCAUUUCUCGAGGACCACUCCUACUCAAUAUCAGAAAGUCCAAGAGGGGUAAAGUGGAAGAUAACAGCAAUAAUGGACUGUAUUAAGAACUUGGAGAAGAGGCUGAAAACCACACACGAGAAGUCCUGCCGUGUACAUUACUUGCUCUUAAGUUUGGACAAACAUUACUUGCAAAACUUUACAACAAAUAAUUACCCCAAUGUGCAUUCUGAUUAUUUAAAAUAGCUCAAUGAAAUAGUUUAUCAGUGGGCAUGUAACAAAAGUGAAUUCAUUAAAUUUGAACGUGUUGCAAAAAUGAUGUCUUACAGUAUAUUCAUUCUGACUUAGAAUGUCAGAAGAGAAAAAAGUUUGUGAAAAGUAGGAAUGACAGCAAGAUGACAGAAGAAUAGAACAGGAUAGAGCAAGGGGGACAGAUAAAGGACAAGUCCACCCCAAAAAUUGUUGAUAUGAAUAAAAAGAGAAAAAUCCAACAAGCAUAACACUGAAAAUUUGAUAAAAAAUCGGAUGUAAAAUAAGAAAGUUAUGACAUUUAAAAAUUUUGCUAAAUUUUACAAAAGAGUUAUAUGCACAUUCUGUACACAGUCAGUAUGCAAAUGAGGAGACUGAUGACGUCAUCCACUCACUAUUUCAUUUGAUAUAUAGAAUAAGGUAUAUUCUAAUUUUCUCCUUGUCAUGUUAAACAAAAUUUUAUUCCUCCCUGAUCAUGUGGAAUUAGCAUUAUUCAAUACUUUUUUGGUUCAGUAAAGUUUGUCCUUAUGGUAAAAUCUGUAAAAAAUGAAAUAUUGUAUAAUUCAAACAAUAAAAAACAAAAUAAACAGUGAGUGAGGGACAUUAUCGACUGUCUCAUUUGCAUGUCACUGAGUUGUGAAUAUUUUUGUUUUGUGAAAAAUAAGUGAAAAUUUAAAAUGCCAUAACUUUCUUA